UAGUAGUAGUAGUAGUUAAUAGUAGUUAAAUGUUGUAAGAAUUAGACAAAUUUGAUUUCAAGUUUUCAUCCGACCAUCAUUAGCUAUCCAUCAAUUACAGGCAAACAUCCAAAGAUAUCAUUUUUCUUUUGUAACAUGAUUGGAUAAAAAAGCCUGAACUUCAAGCUGCCUAAUUAGUAAAACAAAAAGCUACCAAAACCGAUAAUUCGGAUAUAUCAAGAGAUCCAUUAAUGGUAGUUAUUAAUUUUCCACCAUAUGUAUU